rnacentral:rRNA from 1 species
CCUACGGGAGGCAGCAGUGGGGAAUUUUGGACAAUGGGGGAAACCCUGAUCCAGCAAUGCCGCGUGUGUGAAGAAGGCCUUCGGGUUGUAAAGCACUUUUAUUCGGAGAGAAAUCCCUUGGGCUAAUACCCUGAGGGUCUGACGGUACCGGAUGAAUAAGCGCCGGCUAACUACGUGCCAGCAGCCGCGGUAAUACGUAGGGCGCGAGCGUUAAUCGGAAUUACUGGGCGUAAAGCGUGCGCAGGCGGUUUUGUAAGACAGAUGUGAAAGCCCCGGGCUCAACCUGGGAAUUGCAUUUGUGACUGCAAGGCUAGAGUGUGUCAGAGGGAGGUGGAAUUCCGCGUGUAGCAGUGAAAUGCGUAGAGAUGCGGAGGAACACCGAUGGCGAAGGCAGCCUCCUGGGAUAACACUGACGCUCAUGCACGAAAGCGUGGGGAGCAAACAGGAUUAGAUACCCUGGUAGUCCACGCCCUAAACGAUGUCAACUAGUUGUCGGGAAUUAAAUUUCUUAGGUAACGCAGCUAACGCGUGAAGUUGACCGCCUGGGGAGUACGGCCGNAAGGUUAAAACCUCGAAAAGGAUUGACGG